rnacentral:rRNA from 1 species
AUGAACGCUAGCUACAGGCUUAACACAUGCAAGUCGAGGGGCAGCAUGAUUGAAGCUUGCUUCAAUCGAUGGCGACCGGCGCACGGGUGAGUAACACGUAUCCAACCUGCCGAUAACUCGGGGAUAGCCUUUCGAAAGAAAGAUUAAUACCCGAUAGUAUAGUAUUUCCGCAUGGUUUCACUAUUAAAGAACUUCGGUUAUCGAUGGGGAUGCGUUCCAUUAGAUAGUUGGCGGGGUAACGGCCCACCAAGUCAACGAUGGAUAGGGGUUCUGAGAGGAAGGUCCCCCGCAUUGGAACUGAGACACGGUCCAAACUCCUACGGGAGGCAGCAGUGAGGAAUAUUGGUCAAUGGACGAGAGUCUGAACCAGCCAAGUAGCGUGAAGGAGGACUGCCCUAUGGGUUGUAAACUUCUUUUAUACGGGAAUAAAGUGGAGUAGGCAUACUCCUUUGUAUGUACCGUAUGAAUAAGGAUCGGCUAACUCCGUG